AGAUUGAUACAUUUAAUUUUGUAUUCAGCAAACAAUUCCUUGAACAUAGACGAACAGAAGAAAAUAAACCCUAAGAUCUACGAAUUAAAAUUUCCCAUUUGUUUAUUUAUUUUACACAAUGCUUUGAGUUUGUUGCUAUUGCUUUAACGCACUAAACCAAAUCAACGUGUCCAGCAAAAAGCCGUCCAAGGCCCAGUCUAAGAAACCGUCCUCGAUUCUUCAGUUCUUCCAAUUUGUCAAUUCCAAUUUCCGAUCGGGACUCCAUUAAUCACCGCCCAAGAUCUCUGGCCAUUUAUUUCAUGUCUGUUGAAGAAGGUGCAAGCCAAGCUUGUGGAAGAAGUGCGCUGUUCUCUCUGUUAGCCUUGGACUUGGAAUUGUGCUGUACUCUUGCUGAAGGGAUGAUCUCAUCUGCACUGAAGAGUGAAAGUUGGCAUUAGAAAUGUCAAAACUUUUGUUUAUCAGAGCUGCUAUGAGGAAAAUAUUAACUAGCUUGCAGAAUAAGUGGCUAGUUUUUGGGAUCGGAUUUCCUUACACCCUUUACUUUCCAGCCCGAGAAGCUUUCAAUUUCUAGAAAUGGACAUCCCUCUAUUCAUAUCAUUACCAGUUUCAAGCACAACAAGGGAGUAGUUGAGCUCGAUUCUUACUUUUUGGACAGCUCUAAAGGAUGUUUGGAUCCCCAUAAUUGUAUUGGAAUAGAAUGUAAUGUAAUAAAAAGAUUCAUGUUUCGAUUGAGCCUUUUGAGCCCAAAUUGUUAUUAAAAACUUAUUUUGUUUCAGCAGUUUUCAACUAAACCCUAUUUCCCACCGUUUUCACACUUUACAAUCACAUUUUUUUACCACCCUCGAUUCGACAAGUAUUCUAACACCUCUCUGAUUGGUAGUAAUCCUGAUUAUAUUCCACUUCACCAAACACUCCUCUAAUGUUUGAUGUAUUUCUUUUUACUCUCUAGACAACAGGAUAAAUCACACCCUCGUGUUGUACCAUUGCUCAAAGGAACUUAAGUAAUUCACUAAAUCAUAAUUUCUUCAUGUUUCCCUUCCCUCUCCCAUUAGAUUUUCAAUAUAUCUUCUUUCCAAAACACCGAGAAGAAAGAACCAUAUCUAUAGUCAUAAACAUCUUUCAUUUCCCUACAAAGUCUUUUCUUUCUUCAUGUCCCACAAUACCAUAAAUGUUUUUUUUUUAAUAGACAAUACCAUAAAUGUUGGUCCUUCGUUUAAGACCAGUAUUUUUUUGUUGAUUGCUGUAAUUAUUAUCACCCAAUCAUCGCGGUGACCUUGCUUUGGAGAGAACAAUUUGUUGGUCCCAGCUAAUACUAGAAGUUUCCAUCAUUUUGUGUGGGCUAAACACUUUCAGUCUUCAAAGAUAAAUACAUAAUUUAGGACUUCGAACCAGGGAUCAUUUCACUCAACUGCCUCUACAGCUUGUUAGCAGUGGCAUUUACUUAAGAGAGCUGAUUGACAAGAGAAUGUACCCAGGCUAUAGAAUAUCUUAAUCAAAUAGUCGUAGUUCUAGUUUCGAUUAAGGGUCACACACCUGACUUUCAUAGUGAAAUGAGAUGUAUUUGACUGAGUACUCGGGGAAAAAGGUUAAAUUAUAUAAGAAUUACCAUUGAAUUUUGUCACUUGUUUAUCUCCCUUGAACUUUCUAAAGCAUCUGAAAAUGUGUUAGGAGUAUAAUUUUUUAGAAUUUUGGACUGAGAUUGAGACAUGAAAUAGUGUUAGUGAAUUGGAAUGAAAAUUUAGAUUGCUUCAUCGUCUAGGUCUUGUUGGCGUACAUAGUUCUAAGUCUAUUUCUAUAUGAAAUUUCCAAGGAUUUUUAUUUCAAUGGUAGUUUUGAAACAUUUAUGAAAGUUGUGGGAGUAAUAUAGCAACUUUUUGAACAACGGAAGAGAUUUUGCUCAGACUUAAAAGAAUGGUUAUGUUAUUGUUGACUUUCUAAUUUAGAUUUCAUAGGGAAGGGCUGAAAUACUCAAAUGAAUCCAUGAAUAUGAUUUAUGAACAUGUGUGUUUCUCUUGAAAUGAUUUGUUGGUCGAGAAAAUUUUACAGGAGGAAGUGCUGUUUAUGGACAAUUGGAUAGCGCAAAGGAACCGAAAGUAAAAUCCUUAGGAGGGAAAGACGAUAGGUGCACCGAAAGUUGUCGACAUUAUAAAAUGAAGGUGGAAGAGAAGCCUUUGGAAGGGGAAGGGCUAGCUUGUGAUGAAGGUACAUCAUUUGGGCUCAGCCCAUGAAAGUAUUGUCCUAAGGAGAGGGUAAAGAAAUGAUCGUGUGAUUGGAAGGAAAGGAAAGGAAAAGAAAGGAGUUGACAGGUUUGGUCAAAGCUUGGUGGUAAGGUGCAAGUUGAUGUCACAUAGCAUUAAGAUUUGAGAGAGAGAGAGAGAGAGGAGGAGGUGAAAGAUAGGGUGUGCAGGAAGAAGGUAAAAAAGUGGUUACUGUGAUUGAUUGAUUAAAACCUUUUCUUUGGAGUUUGGCACUGUACUUUUUUGGGCUGUGAAAUGAAAUCUAUGGCCAUAUAUAUAUCAUCACACCAUCAUGCAUGUACAAAUGUACUAUCUACUAUACAAUUGUACAUUUUUGUUUUCCCAUCUCCAUCUAGGCACAACAUUGACCACUCCCUACAUCAUGUGAAAUCAAUCUUUAUACAUUUAUAUAUAUUCAUCUUUUUGUUUA